rnacentral:lncRNA from 7 species
AGGUGUGAACACCGUCUGUGAUCUGAAGAGAAUGUCAGUGGAAAAUGAGAAAUUCUGUUGUGGCAUCUCAGACUUCUGUGUACAUUUCUCAUCCUAUCCUGUUCAUCCUCUACAAAAGAACUUAAAUGGAGAAUUUGACCAGGAAACUGAAAAUACAGUGAGUUUUUUAUAACCUUCAGUUAGGACGCUGAUGUGCCUCAGUUACUAAAGGCAUACAUUGGAUGGUUUUCCAUUAAAUUUAGCACUCAAUUUUAGUUUUAUUGAUUAUCUAGUUUCUUGAGUCACCGUUACCUUUUGCAGAACAGAUUUUGUGUCCAUUUCUGUUUUCUCACUGCAGUUGUAAUUAAGUGAUUAAUUUGGAAACAAGUCACUGGGAGGUAAGCUCAACUAUUUGUUGAAGUAGUUGAGUGGAUUGUCAGGUCAAAGAUGAGAAUUUGAAACCAAAAAUAAAAUGUUUUUAAGACCUUGUAGGAACACAGAAACAUAGGAACAGCUGUACUGUGUCAGUUCAAAUGUCCAUCAGUCCCAACAUCACUCUGCCAAUGGCAGUAGCAGAUGCCAAGGUAGUGGUACUUUGUUAGUAUGCCUUCUGUGUGGAUAACUUCACCAUGAAUAGUAAGAUUUGCUAUUUUACUUUCCAUUGACAGCCUCCAUAGAGGGCCAGGUCUGAAUGCUUCAGCUGCAUAGGUACUUAAUGUGAACUCAGACAGGAGAAGACAGAUGAUUGUUGAAAACUUUUCCUUCCUUGUGGGACUCUGGUUUUGCCAGAAUAAAUAAUGAGUCAGGAACCUCAGGAGUUGGCCCAGUGGAAUUAGUAUGACUGACAUGUGAUGAUCAACCUGACCUUUAACAGUUUUUCACAUAACUAAAAUGAUUGCUCUCCAGGCUCUGAAUAGGCCCAGUAUAACAGCCCUUGCACCCCUCUACUCUGAACUAUAAUUUAUUCUCUUUUUGAAAGUGUUCUUUCUGUUUCUUUGCUGAUAUCUUACAUUUUGUGCUGGUAUGGAAAUAAUGAUGGUAAAAAAAUUAUAUGAUUCAGGGUAAAACAUUGUGUCCAUCAAACUGGGUUCUGGAUGGUUAGUAGGAAGACUGAGUUCUUCUUUGUUGUGAUGUCUUUGGCAAUCAGAAUGCUGAGAGAAUGACAGACUUUGAAUGAUUUGUAUUGUCUAAUUCUGCGUUUGUCUGGACGAUGGAAAUAUCAAAGAAGAAAUUGUUCAGUUUUCAAAAUUUGUUUUAAGUAAGUAGGCAUUGACAUGAGUAGGGAACACUGCUUGUAUACCUGAUAUUUGUACAUAAGAACACACUGAGAUCCUAUAGUUAUUUUAGGAGUGGCAAGGUGCUGGAUUAUAGAUGCAUUAGGCUAUGUAAGAAUCGCUGUUUGAUCAACCUUCUUUUCUAUAUGUUGGCACUAAUUAAUAUUCUUAAGUAUCAGGUACAAAUCUCUGUAUGCACAUCCUGGAAACGUGUCAUUGUAUGAAAACAUUGAUCAGAAAUUUACUUUUUACAUAAUUAUGAUCAGUCUUCUUUGCUUGUAACACAAAAUCUACCCCUGGCAUUGCACAUGCUUCAAUUUACACACAUGAAUAACUACGUUGACUUCAAUUCACAUCAAUAAAUUUAUGUGCAUCUGUAAUUAUCACCUGAUCAACAU